rnacentral:rRNA from 1 species
CACGUAGGGGGCAAGCGUUGUCCGGAUUUAUUGGGCGUAAAGAGCUCGUAGGCGGUUCGGUAAGUCGGGUGUGAAAUCCCGGGGCUCAACCGCGGGACUGCGUCCGAUACUGCACGGCUCGAGGCAGGUAGGGGAGUGUGGAAUUUCCGGUGUAGCGGUGAAAUGCGCAGAUAUCGGAAGGAACACCAGUGGCGAAGGCGGCACUCUGGGCCAGUACUGACACUGAGGAGCGAAAGCGUGGGUAGCGAACAGG